rnacentral:tRNA from 1 species
GAUAAUUUGGGAUAAAGAUAAUUUCUCUGCCUUACAAGCAGAGGGUCGGCGGUUCGAACCCGUCAACUCCCA